CAUAGAUAUCCACGCACCGAUGUUCAGAUAUAUUAAAUAUGUGAGAAGGACUUGAUUCAAUCCAUCAUCACUGUGAAACACUGCUCAAAGUGAAUACAUUUGGGAGAGUUAUGAGGACAAAAUGCAUUUACGAACAAAGUGACUAAAAUACAUAGAUGGAUCCUGGACUUCUGUGAAAUCUUCCACUCAAGAAUUCUACCCAGGAGGAUUAGAGAUGGCUUUAUCUCUGUUAUGUAUGUAGAGAUUCCUAUUGUUGGGUAAAUUUUCUAGUCUGUUUUAUGCCAGAUCCUUGUCUCUCAAUUUACCACUCUAAUAGUAUUUUCUCAUUCAGCAUACAUUUAAGAGGAAAAUGAUGUAUAUUUGCAUAUAUUAAAUUACUGUCAUCCUUUCUUAGA
rnacentral:lncRNA from 1 species